GUAAGUAUAUUUCUCUAUCAAACAUUUCUAUAAUAACCUCAAUGGUGUUUUAUUACGACGAUGACAUUAAUUGUUCUUUUUCUUUUUCUGUUUCAGAACAUCAUUGCAAUCGAGCGCGUAGGCAAUGAAAUACUCGUGUGUUGCUUCGUUAAAAUAAUAUAUAAAAAAGUCGGAAAGUAGAAUCAGUGUUAAUCGUCGUACGUGACAGUUUCGUUUGCUCGGUUAUGAAACUCCGUAAGUUUCUUUUUUUAGACGUGUGCCCAUCGUCAUCCUAAGGGUAGGAGACCCAUCGUGCAUUCAUCGAUGGAGACACGAAAUUACAAUCGUGCGCGAAGCAAUAUACGGGAGUGUUGUUAUAUCGUUUAAAUAUUAUUAAAAGCACGGAUUAUAGAAGCACGUUCGUUCGUCAAUUGCAAUUCGUUCGUGUUACGCGAUUGUAUUAAAAAUAUUUCAUAUUAAAUUGACUGCGACCAAAGCAGUAACUGCAUUAGACUUUAUUCGAAAAAAGUUAUAUUUUUAUCUUUAAACAGUCGCACAGACUGUUCGCGUAUUAGAGUAAGUGCAUCAAUGAAGAUUUGGAUACUUGCAUUGACUGUGUGCAAAGCAGUCUUUGGAAGCAGUUGUAGAGUCAGUGAUCGGGCGCAUAAUAAAUUAAAAUUAAACGCGARUUAGAUUCAGUGUUGUUCGUCGUAUAAUUUAAUUUCGGUUUCGCGAUAAGAAACUCAUCUAUAGUUUCUUAUUUUCGUUCAUAACGCGUUAUUAGAUUCACGYGAGAKGCAYCACCAUGAUGCCACUGAGCUGCAUCCCAUUGGAAUGCAUUAUAUGACAACGGACUUUCAUGUGGGAUGAAUUCUUC